AGCCCUUGACAUGUCCAGGACCGGUCGCAGAGAUGUGACCCUCUCUUCGGAGCCUGGAGCACAGGUGCUGCAUGGCUGUCGUCAGCUCGUGUCGUGAGAUGUUGGGUUAAGUCCCGCAACGAGCGCAACCCCCGGUCCUUAGUUGCUACCAUUUAGUUGAGCACUCUAAGGAGACUGCCGGUGAUAAGCCGCGAGGAAGGUGGGGAUGACGUCAAGUCCUCAUGGCCCUUACGGG
rnacentral:rRNA from 1 species